rnacentral:rRNA from 1 species
CGCCUGCCCUGUGACUAAAAGUUCAACGGCCGCGGUAUUUUGACCGUGCAAAGGUAGCGCAAUCACUUGUCUUUUAAAUGAAGACCUGUAUGAAUGGCAUGACGAGGGCUUAACUGUCUCCUUUUUCCAGUCAAUGAAAUUGAUCUUCCCGUGCAGAAGCGGGAAUAUAACCAUAAGACGAGAAGACCCUAUGGAGCUUUAGACACAAGACAGAUCUUGUUAAACACUUCAAAAUAAAGAAACAAACUAAAAGAACCCUGCCCUACUGUCUUCGGUUGGGGCGACCACGGGGAGAUAAAUAACCCCCACGCGGACUGAGAAAACAGUUCUCACAACCAAGAGCUACAGCUCUAAUCGACAGAAAAUCUGACCUCAAGAUCCGGCAACGCCGAUCAACGAACCGAGUUACCCUAGGGAUAACAGCGCAAUCCCCUUCUAGAGUCCAUAUCGACAAGGGGGUUUACGACCUCGAUGUUGGAUCAGGACAUCCUAAUGGUGCAGCAGCUAUUAAGGGUUCGUUUGUUCAACGAUUAA